UGAGCAAUCUGCCCUUCACAUCGGAAUAACCAUUGGAAACGAUGGCUAAUACCGAAUAUGACUUCGGAUCGCAUGAUCUGAAGUGGAAAGCUCUGGCGGUGAAGGAUGAGCUCGCGGCCUAUCAGCUUGUUGGUGAGGUAAUAGCUCACCAAGGCGAUGACGGGUAGCCGGCCUGAGAGGGUGACCGGCCACACUGGGACUGAGACAGGCCCA
rnacentral:rRNA from 1 species